rnacentral:rRNA from 1 species
ACGCUGGCGGCAGGCCUAACACAUGCAAGUCGAGCGGUAGAGAGAAGCUUGCUUCUCUUGAGAGCGGCGGACGGGUGAGUAAUGCCUAGGAAUCUGCCUGGUAGUGGGGGAUAACGUUCGGAAACGGACGCUAAUACCGCAUACGUCCUACGGGAGAAAGCAGGGGACCUUCGGGCCUUGCGCUAUCAGAUGAGCCUAGGUCGGAUUAGCUAGUUGGUGAGGUAAUGGCUCACCAAGGCGACGAUCCGUAACUGGUCUGAGAGGAUGAUCAGUCACACUGGAACUGAGACACGGUCCAGACUCCUACGGGAGGCAGCAGUGGGGAAUAUUGGACAAUGGGCGAAAGCCUGAUCCAGCCAUGCCGCGUAUGUGAAGAAGGUCUUCGGAUUGUAAAGCACUUUAAGUUGGGAGGAAGGGCAGUUACCUAAUACGUAUCUGUUUUGACGUUACCGACAGAAUAAGCACCGGCUAACUCUGUGCCAGCAGCCGCGGUAAUACAGAGGGUGCAAGCGUUAAUCGGAAUUACUGGGCGUAAAGCGCGCGUAGGUGGUUUGUUAAGUUGAAUGUGAAAUCCCCGGGCUCAACCUGGGAACUGCAUGCAAAACUGGCAAGCUAGAGUAUGGUAGAGGGUGGUGGAAUUUCCUGUGUAGCGGUGAAAUGCGUAGAUAUAGGAAGGAACACCAGUGGCGAAGGCGACCACCUGGACUGAUACUGACACUGAGGUGCGAAAGCGUGGGAGCAAAC